GGCUGGUCCAUAGAUAGGGAGUUAUCUCAGUGGAUUGUUCACAGUCAGUUACAGAUCAAACUCGUUAUUCUACUCUUUCUUUCUCGCUACUGCACUUGACUAGUGUUAA
rfam:Canis lupus familiaris chromosome 3, whole genome shotgun sequence.